rnacentral:tRNA from 10 species
CGCGGGGUGGAGCAGUUGGCAGCUCGUCGGGCUCAUAACCCGAAGGUCGUAGGUUCAAGUCCUACCCCCGCAACCA